AAAUUAUCUAGACUGGGGUCAGCAUGAAUAUAAAAGCUGAAACAGGCGCCUUUAUUGGCUGGAAACAUCUUUAAUGGACCAGUAAACCUUUGUGCUCCAGGAAAUGAUAAACAGAAAUACUCAGAGACUGCAGAGGAACAGAGGCUUUUCCUGACAUUAUCAGCGAUACUAUGUAUUAAGAGAGAGCCCAUAAGGCUAUGUGGAUGUAAUCUCACCGCUCCUUCCUGUGAAAGCUUGUCUUCAGCUUUACAAUCUUCAAACUGUUGGACCUGAGUAACAAUGACCUGCAGGAUUCAGGAAUGAUGCUGCUUUCUGAAGGACUGAAGAGUCCAAACUGUCAACUAAAGAUACUGAAUUUAUGCAUUUUGAAUUAUGAUUAAAUCACAUGACUGUGGUGAGUUAUUUUAAUUGCACAUUUUACCUUAAAUUGACACACAUUAAAGAACUUGUUCAUGUCUGUCAUGAUUGAGGGGUCUGAGGCGUGCGGAUCCAUUCGCAGGCUUUUAUUGAGCAAAGGCAUGAUCAAAGCAGGCAGACGUCAAAACACAGCAAACGGGAAUAUCAGAGGCAAGGCAUCAACAGAAUCCAAAAACAGACGGCAAAAAUGUAAAUGUAAAUGUAAAUGUAAAAUAAAAAAUUAAUCCGUCUGUAGGUGGCAUUAAGUCACCGUUAAUAAGCGAGCCAUAACAACUGAACCGAUUCACAUUUACAUUCACAUUUACACUGAAUUUUUACAUUUACAUUCCAAGAAAUUCCUGAAAAAAGCUGCAAACCUGUUUGUUAUUUCUGAUUUUUUUUUUCUCUUGAUUUGACUUGGUCACUUUAC